rnacentral:rRNA from 2 species
UACAGAGGCCACAAGCGUUAGACGGAAUCACUGGGCUUAAAGCGUGUGUAGGCGGGAUGGUAAGUACCUUGUGAAAUCCCACAGCUUAACUGUGGAAAUGCUUGGUAUACUGCCGUUCUUGAGUCACCUAGGGGCAGCUGGAACAGAUGGUGGAGCGGUGAAAUGCAUAGAUAUCAUCUGGAACGCCAAUGGUGCAGACAAGCUGCUGGGGGUGUACUGACGCUGAGGCACGAAAGCCAGGGGAGCAAACGGG